AUUUCAAUAUGUAGAAGAGAUAAAACAUUAAGUUGUGCUGUAAAUACAAACUCUUAAAAGAGCACUCCAAGCACCAUGACCACUACACGGCUAUGUAAUAGUUGUGGUGGCAGGAGUAUCCUGUUUUCUCCCCAUUAUAACCAUUUAAGAACCUAUGAUACAUUAGAUGCCACUCACUGUUACUUCUCUGCAGCCUGGGGAGCUUCCUACUUGGGAGCUUUCAUUAGCUCUCCAGAGAUAAACCCUCCACCACCAUAGUGGUGAAAACGGUUUGAGUAUUUACAUUGGCACGCUGUACUGGUUAUGGAGCUUAGAGUAUUCCUUUUAGAAAAGACA